CAGCAGCCGCGGUAAUACGUAGGGUGCGAGCGUUAAUCGGAAUUACUGGGCGUAAAGCGUGCGCAGGCGGUUGUGUAAGACAGGUGUGAAAUCCCCGGGCUUAACCUGGGAACUGCGCUUGUGACUGCACAGCUAGAGUAUGGCAGAGGGGGGUGGAAUUCCACGUGUAGCAGUGAAAUGCGUAGAGAUGUGGAGGAACACCGAUGGCGAAGGCAGCCCCCUGGGCCAAUACUGACGCUCACGCACGAAAGCGUGGGGAGCGAACAGGAUUAGAUACCCCUGUAGUCCCUGUCUCUUAUAC
rnacentral:rRNA from 1 species